AACAUUUUAUUAUAAAAGGGGUAGAAUUUUUGGUCGUAUAUUCGGCCAUUGCGCGCUUUCUAAAUAUUAUGCAUAAUAUAGGGUAUAGUAAAGCUGAUCACUUUAUAUACUUGUAGAGGGGUAUAAUUUAAUCUUUAUGGUUAUCUGAUACACCUGGGUAUAUCAAAGUAUAUCUUUGAUAGUUACUCGAGAAGAGAAGUUCUAGAUCCUUGUGAUCACUCAGCAUAAAUUCUGG
rnacentral:lncRNA from 1 species